UACGGGGGGAGCAAGCGUUGUUCGGAUUUACUGGGCGUAAAGGGCGCGUAGGCGGCCACCGCAAGUCAAUUGUGAAAUCUCCGGGCUUAACUCGGAAAGGUCAACUGAUACUGCGGGGCUGGAGUGCGGAAGGGGCAACUGGAAUUCUCGGUGUAGCGGUGAAAUGCGUAGAUAUCGAGAGGAACACCUGCGGCGAAGGCGGGUUGCUGGGCCGACACUGACGCUGAUGCGCGAAAGCCAGGGGAGCGAACGGG
rnacentral:rRNA from 1 species